GGGACACGUGGUAUCCUGUCUGAAUAUGGGGGGACCAUCCUCCAAGGCUAAAUACUCCUGACUGACCGAUAGUGAACCAGUACCGUGAGGGAAAGGCGAAAAGAACCCCGGCGAGGGGAGUGAAAAAGAACCUGAAACCGUGUACGUACAAGCAGUGGGAGCACGCUUAGGCGUGUGACUGCGUACCUUUUGUAUAAUGGGUCAGCGACUUAUAUUCUGUAGCAAGGUUAACCGAAUAGGGGAGCCGAAGGGAAACCGAGUCUUAACUGGGCGUUAAGUUGCAGGGUAUAGACCCGAAACCCGGUGAUCUAGCCAUGGGCAGGUUGAAGGUUGGGUAACACUAACUGGAGGACCGAACCGACUAAUGUUGAAAAAUUAGCGGAUGACUUGUGGCUGGGGGUGAAAGGCCAAUCAAACCGGGAGAUAGCUGGUUCUCCCCGAAAGCUAUUUAGGUAGCGCCUCGUGAAUUCAUCUCCGGGGGUAGAGCACUGUUUCGGCAAGGGGGUCAUCCCGACUUACCAACCCGAUGCAAACUGCGAAUACCGGAGAAUGUUAUCACGGGAGACACACGGCGGGUGCUAACGUCCGUCGUGAAGAGGGAAACAACCCAGACCGCCAGCUAAGGUCCCAAAGUCAUGGUUAAGUGGGAAACGAUGUGGGAAGGCCCAGACAGCCAGGAUGUUGGCUUAGAAGCAGCCAUCAUUUAAAGAAAGCGUAAUAGCUCACUGGUCGAGUCGGCCUGCGCGGAAGAUGUAACGGGGCUAAACCAUGCACCGAAGCUGCGGCAGCGACGCUUAUGCGUUGUUGGGUAGGGGAGCGUUCUGUAAGCCUGUGAAGGUGUGCUGUGAGGCAUGCUGGAGGUAUCAGAAGUGCGAAUGCUGACAUAAGUAACGAUAAAGCGGGUGAAAAGCCCGCUCGCCGGAAGACCAAGGGUUCCUGUCCAACGUUAAUCGGGGCAGGGUGAGUCGACCCCUAAGGCGAGGCCGAAAGGCGUAGUCGAUGGGAAACAGGUUAAUAUUCCUGUACUUGGUGUUACUGCGAAGGGGGGACGGAGAAGGCUAUGUUGGCCGGGCGACGGUUGUCCCGGUUUAAGCGUGUAGGCUGGUUUUCCAGGCAAAUCCGGAAAAUCAAGGCUGAGGCGUGAUGACGAGGCACUACGGUGCUGAAGCAACAAAUGCCCUGCU
rnacentral:rRNA from 1 species